GACGGAGGGUGCUAGCGUUGUUCGGAAUUACUGGGCGUAAAGUGUGCGCAGGCGGCCGCGCAAGUCGAGUGUGAAAGCCCCGGGCUUAACUUGGGAAUUGCGCUCGAAACUACGUGGCUAGAGUGUGGCAGAGGGAGGUGGAAUUCCACGUGUAGCGGUGAAAUGCGUAGAGAUGUGGAGGAACACCGAUGGCGAAGGCAGCCUCCUGGGCCAACACUGACGCUCAUGCACGAAAGCGUGGGGAGCAAACAGG
rnacentral:rRNA from 1 species